CCAACAGGGAUUGCCUCAGUAACGGCGAGUGAAGCGGCAAAAGCUCAAAUUUGAAAUCUGGCGCCCUUCUUGGGUGUCCGAGUUGUAAUUUGAAGAUGGCAACUGUGGGGCUGGCCUUUAUCUAUGUUCCUUGGAACAGGACGUCACAGAGGGUGAGAAUCCCGUCUGAUGAGGUGACCCAGCUCUUUGUACAGUGCCUUCGACGAGUCGAGUUGUUUGGGAAUGCAGCUCUAAGUGGGUGGUAAAUUCCAUCUAAAGCUAAAUAUUGGCGAGAGACCGAUAGCGAACAAGUACAGUGAUGGAAAGAUGAAAAGAACUUUGAAAAGAGAGUGAAAAAGUACGUGAAAUUGUUGAAAGGGAAGGGUAUUAGAUCAGACUUGGCGUGCGGUUGAUUAGCUUCCCCUCGUGGGUUGUGUACUCGGCGUGCGCUGGGCCAGCAUCGAUUCGGUGCGGCAGGAUAAUGGUGUUGGGAACGUGGCAGUUGUCUUUGGCAGCUGUGUUAUAGCCCUUCGCAGAUGCUGCCAGCCUGGAUCGAGGACUGCGUCUUUUGACUAGGAUGCUGGCGUAAUGAUCUAAUAUCGCCCGU
rnacentral:rRNA from 2 species